UUUUGUCCCAACCACAAUCCUGACUUCACAACCUUUUGUAUUCCCAAUAAAAAGACUAAACGAAGUGAAAUGUCAUCUCACUUUGAAUGAGUUUUAACGUGAUGGGGUUUCUGUCACUUUACUUCUCACAGGAGUUAACAGUUGUUAUGGGGUGGCAUAUGAGUGUCCUCUGUCUUUUAGUACACUAAAACAUUAAUUGUUGUUAUAUGCACAUACACUUACGGACUUUUUUGCGUUUCUUUGUCUCUGCACUUGUUUGUAUAAGGUUAAGAAGAUUAGAAGAAUAGCUAAUGUUUAUGCAUUAAAAAUACUCCUUAAUUUUUAGAAAUAUAUGCAAGAGGCACGAAGUUUAGGAAAAAACCUGAGGCAACCCAAACUGUCAGACCUCUCUCCUGCAGUUAUUGCACAGACCAACUGUAAAUUCGUAGAAGGCUUAUUAAAAGAAUGUAGAAUGAAGACAAAGCGCAUGUUGGUGGAGAAGAUGGGACAUGAAGCGGUGGAACUUGGCCAUGGAGAAGCAAACAUCACCGGCCUGGAGGAGAACACCUUGAUCGCCAGCCUCUGUGACCUGCUGGA
rnacentral:sRNA from 1 species